AGAGGAAGAUGCAAAGAUACUUGCUUAUGUAUCCAAGCAUGGGACUGGAAACUGGACCGCCCUUCCCAAGAAAGCAGGACUUAGGAGAUGUGGAAAGAGUUGUAGGCUUAGGUGGACUAAUUACCUGAGGCCUGAUCUCAAGCACGACAACUUCACACCCCAGGAAGAGGAGCUCAUUGUCAGGCUUCAUGCAGCCAUAGGUAGCAGGUGGUCUAUCAUAGCCCAACAACUUCCAGGGAGAACUGAUAAUGAUGUGAAAAACUACUGGAACACCAAGCUAAGAAAGAAGCUCUCUGAAAUGGGAAUAGACCCUGUUACUCAUAAGCCAUUCUCUCAAAUUUUAGCUGACUAUGGAAACAUUGGUUGCCUUCCAAAAUAUGGAACUAGAAUUGGGUCUCUCACUA
rnacentral:misc_RNA from 1 species